UAGCCUUGACAUACUACAGAAUUUGACAGAGAUGUUGAAGUGCCUUCGGGAGCUGUAAUACAGGUGCUGCACGGCUGUCGUCAGCUCGUGUCGUGAGAUGUUGGGUUAAGUCCCGCAACGAGCGCAACCCUCGUCCUUAGUUACUAACGGUUUGGCCGAGGACUCUAAGGAGACUGCCUUCGUAAGGAGGAGGAAGGUGAGGACGACGUCAAGUCAUCAUGGCCCUUACGGCUAGGGCAACACACGUGCUACAAUGGUUAGGACAAUGAGAAGCGAUACCGCGAGGUGGAGCAAAUCUAUAAACCUAAUCUCAGUUCGGAUAGCAGUCUGCAACUCGACUGCUUGAAGCUGGAAUCACUAGUAAUCGUAGAUCAGCCAUGCUACGGUGAAUACGUACCCGGGUCU
rnacentral:rRNA from 1 species